GACGAACGCUGGCGGCGUGCUUAACACAUGCAAGUCGAACGAGUGGCGAACGGGUGAGUAAUACGUGGGUAACCUGCCCUCCUUUUUGGGAUAAUCCUUGGAAACGGGGUCUAAUACCGAAUAAAGGGGGAUGGGAUCGCUGCCUAUCAGCUUGUUGGUGGGGUGAUUGCUACCCAGGCGUGACAGGUAGCCGGCCUGAGAGGGUGACCGGCCCCAUUGGGACUGAGAUACGGCUCAGACUCCUACGGGAGGCAGCAGUGGUGGAUAUUGCACAAUGGGCGAAAGCCUGAUGUAGCAACGCCGCGUGAAGGAAGACGGUCUUCGGAUUGUAAACUUCUCUAGACAGGGAUGCGGUACCUGUAGAAUAAGCCACGGCUAACUACGUGCCAGCCGCCGCGGUAAUAC
rnacentral:rRNA from 1 species